rnacentral:rRNA from 1 species
CCCUUAGAUGUUCGGGGCCGCACGCGCGCUACACUGAAGGAAUCAGCACGUCUUUCUCCUUGUCCGAAAGGACUGGGUAACCCGCUGAACCUCCUUCGUGCUAGGGAUUGGGGCUUGUAAUUCUUCCCCAUGAACGAGGAAUUCCCAGUAAGCGCGAGCCAUAAGCUCGCGUUGAUUACGUCCCUGCCCUUUGUACACACCGCCCGUCGCUACUACCGAUUGGAUGGUUUAGUGAGAUCCUCGGAUUGGUCCCGGAGCGGCCUCUGGUCGUGCCGGAGUGCCGAAAAGAAUGUCGAACUUGAUCAUCUAGAGGAAGUAAAAGUCGUAACA